AGCCUGCGGCUUAAUUUGACUCAACACGGGAAAACUUACCCGGCCCGGACACAGGAAGGAUUGACAGAUUAAGAGCUCUUUCUUGAUUCUGUGGGUGGUGGUGCAUGGCCGUUCUUAGUUGGUGGAGCGAUUUGUCUGGUUAAUUCCGAUAACGAACGAGACUCUAGCCUACUAAAUAGACGUUCCGAUCCACUGCGUCGGACGUUCUUCUUAGAGGGACAAGCGGCGUUUAGCCGCACGAGACAGAGCAAUAACAGGUCAGUGAUGCCCUUAGAUGUUCGGGGCCGCACGCGCGCUACAUUGAAGGAAUCAGCGUGUGCUUUCCCUGUCCGACAGGACUGGGUAACCCGUUGAAACUCUUUCGUGCUGGGGAUAGGAAAUUGUAAUUGUUUUCCUUGAACGAGGAAUUCCCAGUAAGCGCGAGUCAUAAGCUCGCGUUGAUUACGUCCCUGCCCUUUGUACACACCGCCCGUCGCUACUACCGAUUGAACGAUUUAGUGAGGUCUUCGGACUGGCGCUCGGAGCGGCUUUCGGGUCGUGCCGGCGUGCCGGAAAGAUGACCGAACUUGACCGUUUA
rnacentral:rRNA from 1 species